GGCCUCGUGGCUCAACGAUAGAGCAGCCCCCUCCUAAGGGGCAGGUUGCAGGUUCGAUUCCUGCCGAGGUCGCCA
rnacentral:tRNA from 1 species